UGAAGGUUUAGUACUUCAAAAAUGAAAAUUAUGUCAUUAAUAACUCACCCUCAUGUCGUUCAAAACCAGUAAGACCUCCGUUCAUCUUCGGAACACAGUAUAAGAUAUUUUAGAUUUAGUCGGAGAGCUCUCAGUCCCUACAUUGAAAAUCUGUGUGUACGGUAUACUGUCCAUGUCCAGAAAGGUAAUAAAAACAUCUUCAAAGUA